CAGCUCCACAUGAGGGAUCGAGCCCACAAUCCGAGCAUGUGCCCUGACCGGGAAUCAAUCUGUGACCUCCUGGUUCAUAGGUCGACGCUCAACCACUGAGCCACCCCAGCCGGGCUGUCUUCCUCUUUUAUAAGACUUGUCCCCCCUGCUGCACUGGAAUCAUGGAAGUCUGUCACCAUCACUGUAAUGAGGGUCCUGGAUUCAUCUGUGCUCCUCUCUCGUCCUCACCGCGGACCUCCCUCCAAAGCCCCUGAGACCUGUUCAUCUCAGCUCUGGACUUGUCUUUAUCCUGAGACAGCUCCUCUUCAAGUCCUCACCCUUUUCAUCCAUCCUCCAAACGGCCCCCGUUAUCUUCAUGGAACUUGAUUUCAUUGUUCUUUCUUGACUAACAACCUCAUUGUCUGAGCAUAAAAUAAAAGCCUGGCAUUCAAA